ACUUAGAAACACUGAAGUCCCAAGGACUUCAUAGUGAAGAUGUCCUUGGGACAAUUGGGCCUUUCAAAAUCUUUCUGGGUAGUUUGGAGGCCCUUUUAGGCCCAUUUGAACUUCCAGAUGAGAGCCAGCCUGGGACAGAGGCAAUUAAUAGUCAGGCUAUGCGCCUGAUUUUGGAGGGCAGCUCCAGGGCCAGGAGUACUUAUUUCUUAAAAAAAAACAUUCUUAAAGGAGCCAGUGCCAUCUUCGGGCCCUACUUGCUGGGAGAGUGCCACUGGACCCUCUUUCAUUGCAACUUGAAAGAGGGAACUAUUACCUACAUCGACUCCUUGGGGGAGCAACCACAGCAUUGCUUCCAAAUAAUGGAAAAUUGGAGCUUAUUUGCUGCUAGCAGAGGCUGCCAAGGGCCCUGGAAGAUGAUGAAGAGGGACCAUGACUUACAAAACGACUCUUUGUCAUGUGGGGUGUUCUCACUAAUGUUUGCAGAAAUGAUCCUCCAGGGACAACAAGGGCACCUCCAAUGCCUCCCUAUCGCUCAAGAGCGGGAGAGACUUGGGACUUUGUUGUUCAACUCCCUUGAUACAAAGACUCUAAGAAGAAAAAAGGGAAAAAUCGCCAAGUCUAAAAAUACAGUAGAUGGUGGCCUUGCACAGGAAUCUGAGUCCACAGAGGGUGAACAAGUAUUAUUCGAAGUGGAGAGUGUUCUCCGGUUACCUGACGGGACCAAGGCCAAAAGAUAUAAAGUGACUAGGGAGGAACUGGUUAGAAGGUGUGGGCCACCAGAGGGCUAUUCGCCCAAUGCUCUGGUGGCCUACUUAAGGAAAGGCAAGAGCCAAAAAGAGGCGCUCAUGGCCAAGUUGCACGACUCACAGGUGGAGCCAGGACCACGAAUCAGGCUGUCAACAAGUGUCAGCAAGUUGUGUGAAGAAGAAUGUCUGGCCCUUGCAGAGGAUGUAAAUUACAUGGGUUUUAAAUACCUACCAAUUCAAAAAAUUGGCCAGGCUUGCCUGGAGGAGGACCAACAUCUUGAGGCCAUCGUCAAGGCCCAACACUGCAGGCAGACACUAACAAGCAUAAAGACCGCGAUGGAGGCCAACUUGUCCUAUUACAACCUCGCUACGCAUGGCCUUGGGCCAGAAAUGUUGAAGGGUGCGUUUUCUUUAAUUGAUGCGUGCCUGGUCGAGGCAGAGAACCUCCACUGCCUCCAGAAGUAAAUAAAGC
ensembl:lncRNA